GUACUACUUGGCACCGCACAAAUCCUACAUAAAACACCUUUAAUACAGUGAAAAGAAGAGCACCACAAUAAACCACAGAACUUACCCAAGGCACAUGGAGCUGCGCUCGGUAGUGCAGUGAAAGCACGAGAUAAAAAUAAGACUACUGAAUAAUAAUAAUAAUAAUAAUAAUAAUAAUAAUA